rnacentral:rRNA from 1 species
AGACGAACCGUACGAACGUUAUUCGGAAUCACUGGGCUUAAAGGGUGCGUAGGCGGCAUGGCAAGUUGGGUGUGAAAUCCCUCGGCUCAACCGAGGAAUGGCGCCCAAAACUGCCUUGCUUGAGGGAGAUAGAGGUGAGCGGAACUACGGGUGGAGCGGUGAAAUGCGUUGAUAUCCGUAGGAACACCGGUGGCGAAAGCGGCUCACUGGGUCUCUUCUGACGCUGAGGCACGAAAGCUAGGGUAGCGAACGGGAUUAGAUACCCCAGUAGUCC